rnacentral:piRNA from 1 species
UGCUAGGGUGGUCCAAAGGAGAGUUCCUU